AUGGUCGUCCACCAACAACACUUACUUUUAUUAGAGGUAAAUCUAAACGUUGAUAAAUCUAAACGGCGGUCGAAGAGGAAGACCGGAAACGGCGGUCGAAAUGGCGGAAAAAACCUUCGGAAACGGCGGAAAAACGAACGUAAACGGCGGUUGAACGGCGGUCGAAAACCUUCGGAAAUGGCGGUCGAUGAUGGUGGCUGGGAAACGGCGGUGGUUGGGUCGUGA